CUGCUGGAGCUAGGUCUUGGCAGACGCUGGCUAGUUGAGGGUCAGUAGAUUCAAUACAUUGCAUUAUGGAUUGGAUUAGGUGACACUUUCUGGAGGCAACCGAUCGAGUACUUGGACUUUCUCUUCUUCACUGUGAUUGAGGUCUCGGUUGAAGUGGAGAAGAAUCCCAGCAGUCAAUA